rnacentral:rRNA from 1 species
AACAGGAUUAGAUAGCCUGGUAGUCCACGCCGUAAACGAUGAGUGCUAGGUGUUAGGCCCUUUCCGGGGCUUAGUGCCGCAGCUAACGCAUUAAGCACUCCGCCUGGGGAGUACGACCGCAAGGUUGAAACUCAAAGGAGUUGACGGGGGCCCGCACAAGCGGUGGAGCAUGUGGUCUAAUUCGAAGCAACGCGAAGAACCUUACCAGGUCUUGACAUCCCGAUGCUAUUCCUAGAGAUAGGAAGUUUCUUCGGAGCAUCGGUGACAGGUGGUGCAUGGUUGUCGUCAGCUCGUGUCGUGAGAUGUUGGGUUAAGUCCCGCAACGAGCGCAACCCCUAUUGUUAGUUGCCAUCAUUAAGUUGGGCACUCUAGCGAGACUGCCGGUAAUAAACCGGAGGAAGGUGGGGAUGACGUCAAAUCAUCAUGCCCCUUAUGACCUGGGCUACACACGUGCUACAAUGGUUGGUACAACGAGUCGCGAGUCGGUGACGGCGAGCAAAUCUCUUAAAGCCAAUCUCAGUUCGGAUUGUAGGCUGCAACUCGCCUACAUGAAGUCGGAAUCGCUAGUAAUCGCGGAUCAGCACGCCGCGGUGAAUACGUUCCCGGGUCUUGUACACACCG